UAGUGGGCCGAAACGGGCUACAUUGACAUCAUAGGUUUUCAGAUUGUGUGCCAAGGCCUCGCUUACUCAAGGGACAUACAGAAGGGUGGCAUUAGCUCGAGGGUGCAUGGCGUGCGAUAUGGCAGGACACUAUAUUCCAUGCAAUGAAUGAAAAUUUCAGUUUAUUCUCUCGGACGUAUUCUGUGCAGGCCACUGUUGGAGAUCUGGUCAUCGGAAUUGGAGAAAAAUCUCACAGCGAGCCCAGGAAGAUUGCUCUAAUCGGGAUGCUUAAAGCAGACCGUUCAGCGUCAAGCCGUUCACGUUGCAGCCCUAUGCUCUGCGGAGCCCCAAGGUUGCCCCAGCAGUGCCGGCGCGGGUGUUGACCUGCAGCCUGCCUCGCACUGUGGCACGAGGCCCUCACGGGAGGGCCCGCUCCAGCGCCAUGCACAAGUUAUGCCUUGAGUUCUCCAGCUGCAUACAUACGGUGGAUGGCCUCUACCUCACAUCUCAAAUUGACUCGAUGCUCCACCUGCCAAGCCUGACCUAUGCCUGCGGAUUUUUUUAUCUCAUCACUGUCUGCCCUCAACCGCCUACUGUUACUCUCAUAGAUCACCAUUUAUUUGGUCUACCCAUUAGAUACAUGAGAGAACCUCUCCAGUUUCCCUUGUCCUUAUUCUAAGCUAGAAUAUCAUUUGUUUACCUUUUACCUAACCGAAUUGUCCCACAAACAUUUUGUUUCAUUGCUGAUUGCAUGGUUGGCUUCUUUUCAAGUCACUUAGUUACCAAAGUUCUAGCUCCAUAGAGUAGUGCUAGCAGAAUACAACGAUUACGUAAUAAAGGGGAAAUCGGACAUCCAACCGUUCGUAGCAAUUGCUACAAAGGAACCCUUGUGGGUUUCCUUGUAGCAAUUGCUACGAACGGGUGGAUGUCCGAUUAUUACUUAACUCUCUCCACCUUGCAAGUUUCCGCAGAGCCAUUACGUCAAACAAUUACAUACAUUUUUCUUCGGAUAUGUUGGUAAACUGCAGAUUCACAUUUUUUAUAAAUCUAUUUUUAUUGUUACCUCAAUCUUUGUAGAUAUUGAACAAAGUUUUGAACAUGU